rnacentral:ncRNA from 1 species
CUUUUAUUCAGAACUACAGAGAGAAUAAACUCGAUGAAGUAGUAGCAACCUAUUAAUUUAGGUGCUUAAAUUAGGGGAAACCAGCAAUAAGAG